rnacentral:rRNA from 1 species
UACGGGGGGGGCAAGCGUUGUUCGGAAUUACUGGGCGUAAAGGGCUUGUAGGCGGCCAACUAAGUCAGACGUGAAAUCCCUCGGCUUAACCGGGGAACUGCGUCUGAUACUGGAUGGCUUGAGUUCGGGAGAGGGAUGCGGAAUUCCAGGUGUAGCGGUGAAAUGCGUAGAUAUCUGGAGGAACACCGGUGGCGAAGGCGGCAUCCUGGACCGACACUGACGCUGAUGAGCGAAGGCCAGGGGAGCAAACGGG